ACAAGGACGAUGCGAUCACACAUGUGCCUAAACCUUUAAAAUAUUUUAUUAUUUUUUAUAAAAGUACAUUUAAAAAGUAGAUAAAUAUUUAAAAUCAAAAGAGAAAAAGAAAAAAAAACAUAAAAAAUAAAAAUAGAAUAAAAUAAAAGGAUAGAUAAAUAAAUAAUGAAAAUAAAGUAAAAAUAAAAGGAUAAAAUAAAAAUAAGGAUAAAAUAAUAAGUAAAUAAAAAAAAAGGGUGCGGAGGUGCUAAAUAAGAAACUGGGGUGCCUAAACAAUUAAAAAAACGAACUGGGCCAAAGCCCAGGCGGAGAGGGGUGCGAAAAUGAGAAUAAGGGGGCGCAGGGAAGAAAUUGGUAUUUGUGUUUUUUUAAGAAUAGAACGGGCCUGAGCCGAGACCAAGGGAAAGGAUGGAGAGUGUGCGGGUGAGAAACGGGGGAUGCGCGUAGGAAAGAAAAGAAUCGGGUUUUUGUUUUUUUUUAUUAUUUGGACCGGGCCCAGGAGUUUUUUUCAAGCAGAAGCAUUAGGGGUUAGGGGUUCUGCCACUCUUCUCCUCACUCCAACAUUCAGAAAGCCUAGAGACUAGGGCCUCUCUCCCAAACGAGGCAGCUAAAAGUGGACCUCCGCCCGUUCGCGCACACGCGCCACCGCCUCCGCCAAACCGGCCGCCGCCAACCGCAAGACCAGGACACCACCAGUGCGCCGAUCGCCGCCACAGACCCCACUGGUUGCCGCGCCAAGCCCCUCUUCUCCUUUUUCUUUUUUUCGCUUCUUCGCGCGCGGAGAGAAGCUCUCGCCUCUCCGCGCCAGCGAUGCAGCUCGCCGCCGGAGUCGUUGCCGGUCACGGCGCCAGACCCUCCUUUCCUUCUCUUCUUCCCGCGUUAGAGAAUCUCUCACGCUUCUCCGUCAAUCGCUGUUUGAACGAUCACGGCUGCCUCGAACCAGAGCACCACCAGUGUCACAGGUCACGACCAAGGUCGCCGCCGGUCCUCGCGUUGACGUCCUCCACCGCUACGACCAAACCCACCUCUACCCCUUUCGUCUCUGCGUUCAAAUUUUUCUUUGAAUCCUGGUUGAUGGUGAUAUCCGAGUGAAUGGAGGAGGAUUUUGUUUUUGCGGUUAACGGUGUAGGUUGAGGGAAUAGUGGGUUCCGGUUAUGUGCAUGAUGAAGGAGAUGGUGAAUGAAAUCUGUCAAGAUGGCUGUGGCAAUGGGUGAAUCUGGAUGGUGAAAGGGGUAUCCGACGAAUGAAUGGGGGCAUCAAUGGUGAUUUUGAACGAUGACAGGUGUAUUGGAUGAUGGGUUAUGUUUGUUGAGGCGGUUACGGUUGAGCGCAGUGUGGAGAAUCCAAACGGUUGAUGGCGGCUGGCGAGGGAAGGAGACAAAGGUUGGAGUCUCCAUUGUUACCGUGGGCAGAGAUUAGGAGAAUGAGGAUGUAAGUUGGGGAAUGACAGGCUCCUGUAAUGUGAAGAAAUUCUGAGGAGGUGAAUGCUUUGAGUGUACUGGCAUGGGAUCUGUGAUUUGGUUUGCAUUUGAUAGAGGUAGGAGAUGGUACGAGAGCUAUAUUUGCUGCUGCUGUUUGCUUUUUAUUUACGGGUUUCCUGGGUGCUAAAGGGAUACGAAGUGUUGAUGUUAGGGAAAUGUAUGCCUAUCUUCUAUUGGUAGUUAAAUAGAUGAAAUUUGCAGGCACAGAAACUGCAUUUUGGGCGCAGUUUUGAUUAACAGAGGAAGGCAAACAAACGCAACCAUAAACAUUGAUCCAUAAACAUUGAUCGAACAUCAAUCAUUCAUCUCUCAGCAUGGACAAGGAAAGCAUAUAUACAAGGAGCAUGACCAAGGAGCUUAGGCGCCGUGAAGUGAAGUUGACUGGGCAGCUAGGUUCACCAACAGUCGCUUCUUCUCCUUCUUUUUUUCUCUGGUCCGAGGUCUCUCGCUCUAUAAGUGGUGGUGAUCAGUGAUCCCCCGUCUCCAAUGUGAUUGUCCCCUUUUCAAAGCCAAAGCCCCCUCCUUUCUGUUGUACCCUCUGGGAUAUCCUCUGGCGCGGGAUUUCCUUUGUCUCUUUUCUUUUUUCACCAAUUCAUGUUUUCAUUUUGCUGUUGGCUGAUAUGGUUCAAAACUCUUUCCUCUUC